GGGGCUGUAGUUCAAUGGUAGAGCACUUGCCUAGCAUGCAUGAGGCACUAGGUUCUAUCCUCAGCACCA
rnacentral:tRNA from 1 species